rnacentral:ncRNA from 1 species
CUUCAGGGCGAGGCGCAAUUCCUCACCGGCGGUACAGCCCGCGAACCUGGCAACAGGCCGAUUCGGUGCAAUUCCGAAGCCGACAGUAUAGUCUGGAUGGAAGAAGU